rnacentral:lncRNA from 1 species
CUUCUGAUACAAAUUUAGCAAACACAAUAGUUUUGUAUUGCAAUAUAAACAAUAUAUAAUUCCUAACAAUACAUACAAGUUAAACGUUACCAAUCAUUACAUAUAUAUUUUCACUGAAAAUUGUAAUUUAUAUACAUCUUAGUUACAUAAAACUUUCAGUCUCAGAAUCCAUUUCCCACAAUAUUAGUUAAUUGAUUGUUCGAGAGCUGUGGGUGUGUAUUGGAGAUCAUUUAAUAUCUUUAUUCUUAAUAUUAUUUACUUUUUGCUGUAUAUAUUUUCUUAUAUCUGUUGCCAAUUAUUCUCUAUUCUUAAUGUUUUAAUAAACACCCAAAUAUUUUUCAUUCUUUAUUUUUUUGUUUCUUAUUUUUGGUAUUUUUUUGCUAUUUAUUAUGCACUUUCAGUUCAUUAUCCCCUUUUCUGUAAAACGCAUCGUUAUCUUAAUAACUGUACAAAUAAUUCAGUUAUCAGUUCCAGAGUAUGGAUAACUGGCAUGAUAACUCUUUAAUGUUUUUAUUUAAAUGCUAUUACCCUAUUGUGUUAACCGAAUGCAGCGGAAAGUUAAUCAAUGAAAUUCUAUUCAUUCAAAUGGUGCACAUAUGUAGCAAGUAGGAUCUUAUUAAUAAAUUUCGGGUAAACUUUUAUAAUACGCAGUAAGGUCCUGAAAUAAAAAAAAACUGUCACGUUAAUUAGUAAUAUAUCUAUUUGUAUGUUUAAGGUACGUUAUUUAUAG